AGGAACCAACAUAGCACGUUGAAUACUUCAGUUCCCAAUGGAUCACUGAAGUUAAUCAACAUUGUGUUUGGUUACUAUCUGAAUGGGCGACCGUCUCUUCAAUCGUGUGCUACUGGUUUUAC
rnacentral:rRNA from 1 species